AAAGGCGUCCGCUGCUACCAUGCAAGUCGAGCGGUAACAGAGAGUAGCUUGCUACUCUGCUGACGAGCGGCGGACGGGUGAGUAAUGCUUGGGAAUGUACCUUAUGGUGGGGGACAACAGUUGGAAACGACUGCUAAUACCGCAUAAUGUCUUCGGACCAAAGCGGGGGACCUUCGGGCCUCGCGCCAUAAGAUCAGCCCAAGUGGGAUUAGCUAGUUGGUGAGGUAAUGGCUCACCAAGGCGACGAUCCCUAGCUGGUUUGAGAGGAUGAUCAGCCACACUGGGACUGAGACACGGCCCAGACUCCUACGGGAGGCAGCAGUGGGGAAUAUUGCACAAUGGGCGCAAGCCUGAUGCAGCCAUGCCGCGUGUGUGAAGAAGGCCUUCGGGUUGUAAAGCACUUUCAGUAAGGAGGAAAGGUUGGAUGUUAAUAGCAUUCAGCUGUGACGUUACUUACAGAAGAAGCACCGGCUAACUCCGUGCCAGCAGCCGCGGUAAUACGGAGGGUGCGAGCGUUAAUCGGAAUUACUGGGCGUAAAGCGUACGCAGGCGGUUUGUUAAGCGAGAUGUGAAAGCCCCGGGCUCAACCUGGGAACUGCAUUUCGAACUGGCAAACUAGAGUGUGAUAGAGGGUGGUAGAAUUUCAGGUGUAGCGGUGAAAUGCGUAGAGAUCUGAAGGAAUACCGAUGGCGAAGGCAGCCACCUGGGUCAACACUGACGCUCAUGUACGAAAGCGUGGGGAGCAAACAUGAUUAGAUACCCUGGGUAGUCA
rnacentral:rRNA from 1 species